ACGAACGCUGGCGGCGUGCUUAACACAUGCAAGUCGAACGGAAAGGCCCUGCUUUUGUGGGGUGCUCGAGUGGCGAACGGGUGAGUAACACGUGAGUAACCUGCCCUUGACUUUGGGAUAACUUCAGGAAACUGGGGCUAAUACCGGUUAGGAGCUCCUGCUGCAUGGUGGGGGUUGGAAAGUUUCGGCGGUUGGGGAUGGACUCGCGGCUUAUCAGCUUGUUGGUGGGGUAGUGGCUUACCAAGGCUUUGACGGGUAGCCGGCCUGGGAGGGUGACCGGCCACAUUGGGACUGAGAUACGGCCCAGACUCCUACGGGAGGCAGCAGUGGGGAAUAUUGCACAAUGGGCGGAAGCCUGAUGCAGCAACGCCGCGUGCGGGAUGACGGCCUUCGGGUUGUAAACCGCUUUCGCCUGUGACGAAGCGUGAGUGACGGUAAUGGGUAAAGAAGCACCGGCUAACUACGUG
rnacentral:rRNA from 1 species